rnacentral:tRNA from 1 species
CGGGGCGUGGCGCAGCCUGGUUUAGCGCACUCGCUUGGGGUGCGAGGGGUCGCUGGUUCAAAUCCAGUCGCCCCGA